GAUGAACGCUGCCAGCAUGCUUAACACAUCAGCGAUUGAUUGGUGUCGGACGGGUGCGUAACGCUUACAGAACUUACCCCACAGUUAGGGACAACAUUUGGAAACGAAUGCUAAUACCUAAUCCUGUGAGAGAGCUUUGCGUCCCAUUAGCUGGUUGGAGCGGUAACGGCUCACCAAGGCGAUGAUGCGGAGCCGGCCUGGGAGGGUGAUCGGCCCAGACGCGAAUGAGAGGCAGCCGUUAGUACUACGCGGGGAAGGAGUGAGGAAUAAUGGACAAAGGACGAAAGUCUGAGCCAGCAAUUCGGUGUGAAAGAUGAAGUUUUCGGAAUGUAGAGCGCUUUGAGUUGAGAGGCGGUACCAACAGAAGAAGGGACGGCUAAAUACGUGCCAGCAGCCGCGGUAAUUC
rnacentral:rRNA from 1 species